ACUCAAAGGAAUUGACGGGGACCCGCACAAGUGGUGGAGCAUGUUGCUUAAUUCGACAAUACACGAAGAACCUUACCUGGGCUUGACAUCCUUUGCAAAGUUAUAGAAAUAUAAUGGAGGCUAACAGAGAGACAGGUGGUGCAUGGUUGUCGUCAGCUCGUGUCGUGAGAUGUUGGGUUAAGUCCCGCAACGAGCGCAACCCCUAUUAUUAGUUACUUUAUCUAAUAAAACUGCUAGCGCAAGCUAGAGGAAGGUGGGGACGACGUCAAAUCAUCAUGCCCCUUAUGUCCAGGGCUGCAAACGUGCUACAAUGAUUGGUACAAAGUGUUACAAAAUCGCAAGAUCAAGUCAAUCACAAAAAGCCAAUCUCAGUUCGGAUUGAAGGCUGCAAUUCGUCUUCAUGAAGUUGGAAUCACUAGUAAUCGCGUAUCAGAUAUGUCGCGGUGAAUACGUUCCCGGGUCUUGUACACACCGCCCGU
rnacentral:rRNA from 1 species